UCCUACGGGGGGCAGCAGUGGGGAAUUGUUCGCAAUGGGCGCAAGCCUGACGACGCAACGCCGCGUGGAGGAUGAAGGUCUUCGGAUUGUAAACUCCUGUUGCCCGGGACGAAUGGCUCCAACCUAAUACGUUGGAGUGUGACGGUACCGGGUGAGGAAGCCCCGGCUAACUCUGUGCCAGCAGCCGCGGUAAUACAGAGGGGGCAAGCGUUGUUCGGAAUUACUGGGCGUAAAGGGCGCGUAGGCGGCCUGUUAAGUCGAACGUGAAAUCCCCGGGCUCAACCCGGGAACUGCGUCCGAUACUGGCAGGCUUGAAUCCGGGAGAGGGAUGCGGAAUUCCAGGUGUAGCGGUGAAAUGCGUAGAUAUCUGGAGGAACACCGGUGGCGAAGGCGGCAUCCUGGACCGGCAUUGACGCUGAGGCGCGAAAGCCAGGGGAGCAAACGGGAUUAGAUACCCCGGUAGG
rnacentral:rRNA from 1 species